UGAAUGCUGAUGGAUGCUCACU
rnacentral:piRNA from 1 species